rnacentral:rRNA from 1 species
CCUACGGGAGGCUGCAGUGGGGAAUAUUGCACAAUGGGGGAAACCCUGAUGCAGCGACGCCGCGUGAGUGAAGAAGUAUCUCGGUACGUAAAGCUCUAUCAGCAGGGAAGAUAAUGACGUUACCUGACCAACAAGCACCGACUAACUACGUGCCAGCAGCCGCGGUAAUACGUAGGGGGCAAGCGUUGUCCGGAUUUACUGGGUGUAAAGGGAGCGUAGACGGCAGCACAAGUCUGGAGUGAAAUCCCGGGGCUUAACCCCGGGACUGCUUUGGCAACUGUGCGGCUGGAGUGGAGGAGGGGGAGACGGAAUGCCUAGGGGAGCGGUGAAAUGCGGAGAUAUUAAGAGGAACACCGGUGGCGAAGGCGGCUUACUGGACUGUAACUGACGUUGAGGCUCGAAAGCGUGGGGAGCAAACAGGAUUAGAUACCCCGGGUAGUC